rnacentral:misc_RNA from 1 species
UCACAGUUUGCACUGGCAGUCUUGUUAGAGUUCCCGACCUUACUCGCUGGCAACUAACAACAGGGGUUGCGCUCGUUAUAGGACUUAACCUGACACCUCACGGCACGAGCUGACGACAACCAUGCAGCACCUUGUAAAUUGCCCGAAGGAAAAACUGUUUCCAGUCCUGUCAAUCUACAUUUAAGCCUUGGUAAGGUUCCUCGCGUAUCAUCGAAUUAAACCACAUGCUCCACCGCUUGUGCGGGCCCCCGUCAAUUCCUUUGAGUUUCAAACUUGCGUUCGUACUCCCCAGGUGGGAUACUUAUCACUUUCGCUUAGCCACUGAGUCUUGCAACCCAACAGCUAGUAUCCAUCGUUUACGGCGUGGACUAC